CAAAACAAACAACUAAAAACCGAAAACUAUUUAUAAAUCUACAGGAAUAAUAUUUCACCCACAUAAACGCGCGCACCCAGACAUACACGUACUCACCCACACAUAAACACCUGAGUGCGCCUAAGUGCAUGCAACGAAUUUUUUGUGCCUUCGUUUUGUAUUCCAUUUUUUUAGUUUUCUUCUUUUUGUUUUUGUUGUUCUUACCCUCAACUUGCGCUUGGUUUGGAUGUGCGGAAUAUAUUUUGCGCCUACGCCAAUUUCACAAUUAAAACAUUAAAAUAAGA